rnacentral:ncRNA from 2 species
CCUUCGCGGCUUGUUUCAGGUGCUCUGUGACCCAUGGGUCGACCGAGUGAAACAGGGAAGCCGGUGAGCGAGCGCACUUGUACACAGUGCUGCCGCGAUUCCGGCGCUGCCCCCGCAACGGUAAAUGAGUCAAGACGGUGCCUUUUGCCACUGUAUCGCCCGCGAUAUGGGAAGGCGCGCCGUCGGCGUGUUCGCUCUGUCGAUGAGCCAGCGCACCACUCAUGAGCCCGGAGACCGGCCUGGAUCAUCCAACAGCA